rnacentral:rRNA from 1 species
UACGUAGGGUGCAAGCGUUGUCCGGAAUUAUUGGGCGUAAAGAGCUCGUAGGCGGUCUGUCGCGUCGGCUGUGAAAUCCCGGAGCUCAACUCCGGGUCUGCAGUCGAUACGGGCAAACUGGAGUACUGCAGGGGAGACUGGAGUUCCUGGUGUAGCGGUGAAAUGCGCAGAUAUCAGGAGGAACACCGGUGGCGAAGGCGGGUCUCUGGGCAGUAACUGACGCUGAGGAGCGAAAGCGUGGGGAGCGAACAGG